rnacentral:rRNA from 1 species
GACGAACGCUGGCGGCGUGCUUAACACAUGCAAGUCGAACGGAAAGGCCCUGCUUUUGCGGGGUGCUCGAGUGGCGAACGGGUGAGUAACACGUGAGUAACCUGCCCUUGACUUUGGGAUAACUUCAGGAAACUGGGGCUAAUACCGGAUAGGAGCUCCUGCUGCAUGGUGGGGGUUGGAAAGUUUCGGCUGUUGGGGAUGGACUCGCGGCUUAUCAGCUUGUUGGUGAGGUAGUGGCUUACCAAGGCUUUGACGGAUAGCCGGCCUGAGAGGGUGACCGGCCACAUUGGGACUGCGAAACGGCGCAGACUGCUACGGGAGGCAGCAGUGGGGAAUAUUGCACAAUGGGCGGAAGCCUGAUACAGCAACGCCGCGUGCGGGAUGACGGCCUUCGGGUUGUAAACCGCUUUCGCCUGUGACGAAGCGUGAGUGACGGUAAUGGGUAAAGAAGCACCGGCUAACUACGUG